rfam:Salmo salar isolate Sally breed double haploid chromosome ssa03, whole genome shotgun sequence.
AAUGCACCAAUUUGUAAGUCGCUCUGGAUAAGAGCAUCUGCUAAAUGUCUUAAA